GUGCUUUCCAAGCCGGGCGCCUUCAUCAAGAAGAGAAGAGAGAGCUGAACACGUUACUCAGAUUUUCAACUUAAUAUAUGCACUACCAUGGUAUUUAAUAGAUGAAAGAGACUAUAAGUAAUGGGAAUUGAAAGAGUUUACCAUGAAUGUGACAUUCUUGAAGCUUGGAGAUUCCGAGGUGGUGAAUUCUCCACAUUUUUAACAUGGACACCUGUCGCUUCCCAGAAUUUUGAAAUAGUACAUAAGGAAUGGAGUCUGAGGAGGAGAGAAGAGACAGUCCAGUAAUCCAACUUAAUUCCCCAAGGAUUUUGCAGUUUGGAACAAUAUCAAUAGAUACACAGGAUGCAGCUCAGGAUACAUUAUUGUGUCCUGUCAGGCAGCAGGAGGAUAAGAACUCCAUAUUUUGAUGACACGACUAACUGGAUCAUUCUGCAUUUGUCUAGAAGCAGGUGCAAGACUCUACACCUGCUCUUGUUAAACCUCGUAGUGUUCCUUCCUGCCCAACUCUCCAGCCUGUCCAGAUCUUGUUGAAUGACAGCACGGCCUUCAGGUAUAUCAGUCAAGCCUCCCAGGUUUGUAUCAUCAGCAAACUUGCUGAGAGUACACUUUGUCCCACUGACCCCUGGAGAACACCACUAGUUAGAGGCCUACAACCAGAUUCUGUGCCACUGAUGACAAUCCUCUGAGCUCUUCCAGUCAGCCAGUUCUCCUUCUACCUCACCAUCCAAUCCUCUACGCCACAGUUUCUAAGUUUCAUAACAAGGAUGUUGUGGGAAACGGUGUCAGACACCUUGCCGAAGUCAAGGUACACAACAUUCACUGCUCUACCUCAAUCUACCAAGCCAGUGAUGACAUCAUAGAAAGCUAUCAGAGUCAGAGGUGAGGCUGACUGGCCUCCAGUUUCCCACCUCCUUCUUCUUGCCCUUUCUGAAGAUUGAAGUGACACUGGCCGUCCUUGAGUCUUCAGGCAUCUCUUCCAUUUGCCAAGACCUUUCAAAGAUGAUCGAGAGUGGUUCAACAAUCACCUCAGCCAGCUCCUUCAGCACAUGUGGGUGCAUUCCAACCAGGCCAUGGAUUUGUGUGCACUGAUUUUGGUUUUAUGCUUUCUGACCAUUUCCUGCUUAACCAAAAGAAAGUCUUCCUUUCCCCUGACUCUCUCUUAACUCCAGGGUCUGGGAUUCCUGAGGGCUAAUGUUAGCAUUAAAGACUGAAGCAGAGAAGGUGUACUUUAUCUCCUCCUUCUCAGCAUCCCCUGAACAGAACACCCCCCUCAUUUAGUAGCAGACCUGCAUUUUCCCUAGUCUUCCUUUGACUGUUGACAUACUUAAAAAAAAAAGCCUUUCUUGUUAUCCUUUAUCUCCUUUUCAAGGUUUAAUUCCAAGAGGACCUUAGCCUUCCUUGUUGCAUUCCUACAGGACCUGACAACAUUCCAGUACUCUUCAGAGGUGGACAGGCCCUUUUUCUACAAUUCAUGGGCCACCUUCUUCCUUUCAGUUUAUCCAAGAGUUCCUCAAAUGCAAGAGACUCUUGCAAAAUGCAGUGAAGAGCUGGACCAGUACUGAAAUAUAGUGGAUUACUGUUUCCUUUCAAGUGAGGUAAACGGAUAGGAUAAACGGAAAGCAAUUUUCCUCACUUCUUUCAUAUCAGUGUAUAUUCUCAUAUUUCAAAGAGACAUUAGAAGACCUGGCUGGAAUAUCCCCCACCAAAACUAAACUUCAACAUAAAGCAGUUGCCAAUAGAGCAAGGAGGUGAAGUGUUUAUAGAUCACAGAUGAAAAAUUACUGAUGUGGAAAUGUAACAGUGGACAAGCCAUGGAACAAGUUGGUCUGUAGAAAUUCUACUGUAGAUCCAAUUUUGAUUUUGUUUAUAUCAAUAUAUCUUUGAGCUGAAGUUAUUCAAAUUACACCAGAGUGAGUAUUUAAUUUGAAGUAUUCAGCUGGGGGCUUUACUUCUUUUAAUGUUGCUGUGCACUCAGACUUAUAUUGGAAUGAAUCAAGGGACCUUUGUGAAAUGAGAAUCAAAUCUAGUGUAUUAAAUAACUGCUAGGAACUUGUUUAUGGAAAUUAAUUUCAGAUAUUAUGCAGAAAAAAAACAUAAGGAGUACAUAUUAAUUGAAACUCGUGCAUGAAGAUUUGGCUGAAUAACUCCCAUUAACAAUAAUAAGAAUUGCAGAAUUAAUUUCCUAAGUCCUGCUUAAAAUUCACCCAAGGGCAUUGUAUUCUGAAUCUUUAGAUUCAGAUCUUUUUGUAUUAGAUGUUUCUGGGAAUAAAAAAUCUUCUUACACAAUUAUGGCUAGAAGAGUCUAUACUGAAUAGCAGUUUAUUUUAAAAUGAUCAUUAAAUUAUAGCUGUAUUGGA